CGCCCCGCGGCCCAAAGAGCUCAGGCUGGACGCUGACCCGGUCGAGGGGUCAGCAAGGGAAGGAAGUGUUUUUACUAGUAGAACUCUGGUACUUUUUUUUCCCCCCUUCUCCCUCAUCUUUCCUUGAAAGGGAAUUUUGUGGCUUCGUUCUCCCCCCCCCCACCGGGACUAGCUUCUCCCUUUGAAUCUGCGUUGAAUUCAUGUGCUAUUUAUGCCGGUCUGUUACCUAUGAAAGGAUAUUGGUGUCCAAAUCCUUCACUAUUUACAAGAUCAACUGGGAACAGUAUGAAUUUAGAGGCUGUAAACCAUUCAGUAAAGCCAGUUUUUGUUUAACAAUGAGCAUAAACUUAUUUAAAAAUAUGUGAAAGGUAAAUUGACUUGUUUACUAUAUUAAAAUAUUUUCCCAAUAUGAAAGUCUCUGCAAUACGGUAUAUUCUCUUUGGGGUGGGGGGAGCGGACUGGGAGGGAGCGUAGGACUGGAAAGACUGGGUAGCGAAAGUGAUUUGCCUGCUGCAAUAGGCAAACUGUAGCACUUGUGUUGAUUCAUUUGUCAUUGGUCUUCAUAGGUGAGGCUUAGAGAAAUCUCCGCCAGUCAGAUGUGUAUAACCCCUGCUAUUCAUGGCAACUAUGCAUUUGUGAGGAGAGAAGGUUUGCACUUCCGCAGGAGAAGCAGAUGGAGCUCUCACAGCCCCUCCAGCACAGCGCGGAAGCUGAUGCGUGAUAUGCAGCACUCUUAUCGCUUUAACCUUCUGAUUGAAUUCCCCGGGAUAAUGCCUACUGCUUACAUGGACACAGGACACAGUAAAGGUUUCCUGCUGGGACAUGGCAGGAUUUACCAAGAGAGAGCUGCUCAGUACCUUCUGGAGGCUAGCAUAACAACAACCCAUUUGCCUUGUCACAUGAAGUCCUUCAUCUACAGAGAACUUGCAUUACUGUUGUUCACACACAACAGGGUGAAAAACACCCCCUCUUUCCCCUGCUGCAAAGUGAUAAUCUUGUAA
rnacentral:lncRNA from 1 species